rnacentral:rRNA from 1 species
GAUGAACGCUGGCGGCGUGCCUAAUACAUGCAAGUCGAGCGAACAGACGAGGAGCUUGCUCCUCUGACGUUAGCGGCGGACGGGUGAGUAACACGUGGAUAACCUACCUAUAAGACUGGGAUAACUUCGGGAAACCGGAGCUAAUACCGGAUAAUAUAUUGAACCGUAUGGUUCAAUAGUGAAAGACGGUUUUGCUGUCACUUAUAGAUGGAUCCGCGCCGCAUUAGCUAGUUGGUAAGGUAACGGCUUACCAAGGCAACGAUGCGUAGCCGACCUGAGAGGGUGAUCGGCCACACUGGAACGGAGACACGGUCCAGACUCCUACGGGAGGCAGCAGUAGGGAACCUUCCGCAAUGGGCGAAAGCCUGACGGAGCAACGCCGCGUGAGUGAUGAAGGUCUUCGGAUCGUAAAACUCUGUUAUUAGGGAAGAACAAAUGUGUAAGUAACUAUGCACGUCUUGACGGUACCUAAUCAGAAAGCCACGGCUAACUACGUG